AUUGAACGCUGGCGGCAGGCCCAACACAUGCAAGUCGAACGGUAACAGGGAUCAGCUUGCUGAUUCGCUGACGAGUGGCGGACGGGUGAGUAAUGUCUGGGAAACUGCCUGAUGGAGGGGGAUAACUACUGGAAACGGUAGCUAAUACCGCAUAACGUCGCAAGACCAAAGAGGGGGACCUUCGGGCCUCUUGCCAUCGGAUGUGCCCAGAUGGGAUUAGCUAGUAGGUGGGGUAACGGCUCACCUAGGCGACGAUCCCUAGCUGGUCUGAGAGGAUGACCAGCCACACUGGAACUGAGACACGGUCCAGACUCCUACGGGAGGCAGCAGUGGGGAAUAUUGCACAAUGGGCGCAAGCCUGAUGCAGCCAUGCCGCGUGUAUGAAGAAGGCCUUCGGGUUGUAAAGUACUUUCAGCGGGGAGGAAGGGAGUAAAGUUAAUACCUUUGCUCAUUGACGUUACCCGCAGAAGAAGCACCGGCUAACUCCGUG
rnacentral:rRNA from 1 species